AUAGCUCAGCUGGGAGAGCGCUUGCAUGGCAUGCAAGAGGUCAGCGGUUCGAUCCCGCUUAUCUCCACCA
rnacentral:tRNA from 1 species